CGCGUAGGCGGUCUCUUAAGUCAGAUGUGAAAGCCCGAGGCUUAACCUCGGAAGUGCAUUUGAAACUAAGGGACUUGAGUAUGGGAGAGGGAAGUGGAAUUCCUGGUGUAGCGGUGAAAUGCGUAGAUAUCAGGAGGAACACCCGUGGCGAAGGCGACUUCCUGGACCAAUACUGACGCUGAGGCGCGAAGGCGUGGGGAGCAAACAGGAUUAGAUACCCUGGUAGUCC
rnacentral:rRNA from 1 species